ensembl:lncRNA
AUCAGGGAAACUCUUAAGGGAUGGCCUAGUAUUUAAACUGUUAAGGUUGGAGCUCGUUGGGUUGCUAUGGGCAUGGGGGCCUGAGACCAGGCAGUGGCACGACAAGGGGAGACGGGAAGCCCCCAGCUGCAGAGAUGAGUGGGGCUUUCGUUGUGGUCUUCAGCACAAGCACCUGUGUUUCGCUGCUCAUCUGUCAGGGAAGGUAAAAGAAACUCAAGGAGGAGGAGAACUGAUUCAAUGGACCAGGGAAUGCAAUUGGGAGGGGGCUGUGAACAGAUAACAUUUUUAUUUAAGCAUAUCCCAACUCUGAAAAUUCUUGCGAAUUAUCUUCUGCUGUUGGCGGGCAUGGAUAGCAUCCAGAUGACGUGCACUCUUCAGACCUGAACUUGUGACCUUGGUCCUGGGAGCACCUUUGAAAUUGACCAGCAUAUUGGGAUUCUAGAUUGACAUUUCCUAUUUGGUUAAACUCAUAGUUUCAGUCCUUAAUUGAAUGACCUAUUAC